GUAAAUAUAUUAAACACCACCUGUAUAUGCUAGUAAUAUGGUCUAGCGUUUCUACGUCUUACCACUGGAAUAAGGACUCUAUAGGUUAAUGCUUUUCUUUC
rnacentral:ncRNA from 2 species